rnacentral:lncRNA from 1 species
CACCCCAGCUACGUAGAACGCUGGUGAUCCUGCAGGCCCUUCCUAGCACACACCAUGUGCAAACUGUCUUCCUGAGAACCCAACCAGCAUCUGGAGCAGCAGACAUGGGAGUGCACUGCUCAGACACCAGCCCUAGAGCCCCAGUGGCUGCCUGAAGAAGAUCCAGCCAGCCACAUAAGGGAAGAAACACGUGUGAAAGAUUACAACAUAUAGAGGCCCUGGCUCCCAGGCUGUGCUAUUCUUCAAGAAUGACAUCAGUAAACAGAAGCCAGCAGUUUCUUCCAUCUCAAUUGCAAAGAGCUGAGGUUAGAGACACGUCCAUUUUGGGAAUAUACCUUGAGUAAAAGUGAUGUAUCCUUAUGUGACACAUAGAGAUGUUGUAUUUGUAUAGACUGUUAUAGCUUCAGCCACAUUUGGAAAGAAACACGUGAUAAACACCAUGAUAUUGAAUUUUUUGUGCAAUUAGUUUUCCAUGAUGAGAAAAGUCUUGUAUGCCAAUCAAUAUUGAGCAUGUAGGAAAUAUAGCACAACAGAUACUAUUCCUACGUAUCAUUCAUAUUAUACAACUCCCAUAGAGUAGCUAUAAAGAGCAUCAAACAGACAGCAUAUGCUGAAGUGCCUCAGGAACUGAAAAACAGACAACAAACGUGAGUUCUGUCAGAGAGUGCUUAGGAGUGGGGAAAAUCCCUAUGCCUUGAAAGCGCAGCACAGUCGUGAUAUGGCAAAGCUAGGGUAGCCCUUCCAUUUGCAUAUAUUAUUCUGUUGAUGCCACAUAUGUCUCACGUCCUAUUUUCAAAGUCCCCAGAGAAGGAAAUAACCUCCUAUAUACUUAGCAACACCCAACGCUAUGAGCCUUGUGGCAACCACACGAAAAAUCCAAUCCUGCAAAUGCUGAUUGAGAAACUGCGCAGAAAAAGCUAGGCGUGCUGCCUAAUGGAGGUUUUACCUCAUUAGGGGAGCCCCUAAAAGGGUGUGGCUCUCCCUGGAGAAAGAUGUUCAGAGUUGAAGGGAAUUUGAUGCAAGGGAAAUUCCCCACUGCUGCCUUUGAAGACAGAGAGGUCAUGGAGCAAGAAAAGGGGUGGCUUCUAGCCACUGAGAAUGGCCCCCACAUGACAGCCUGAGACAGAAUGGAGACCUCCAUCCUACACCACAAAGAAUUGAAUUCUGCCAUCAACUUCAAUGAGCUCAGAAACAGACUGUUACCCAGAACUUCCAGAUAACACAGCAGCCAAGCCAACAGCUUGGUUUCACUCUCAUGAGAUCCCAAGGUGAAAGAUCAAUUAAGCCAUGCUUGGACUUCUGACCUACAGAACUAUGUGAUAAUAGGUGGGUGCUGUUUCAAACUGCCAAGUCUUUGAUGAUUUGCUGUGCAGCAAUAGAAAACUAAAAUAAACGUCUUGAUGAAUGUUCCUUAAGACAA